rnacentral:tRNA from 1 species
GGGGCUGUAGCUCAGCUGGGAGAGCGGCGGCUUUGCAAGCCGUAGGUCGUCGGUUCGAUCCCGACCAGCUCCGCCA